GCACGGAAGUUAGCCGGUGCUUAUUCCUCUGGUACCGUCAACCCAAUUAGAAAAUUGGGGUUUCUUCCCAGGUAAAAGAAGUUUACACACCAUAGAUGCUUCAUCCUGCACGCGGCAUGGCUGGUUCAGUCUUUCGACCAUUGACCAAUAUUCCUCA
rnacentral:rRNA from 1 species